CCGUGCUAGGCGGGGAGAUAGCGGUGCCCUGUACCCGCAAUCCGCUAUAGCGGGGCCGAAGUCCUGCCCGAGGGUGUCCGCCUUCGGGGUCCGGCUUCAGUUAGACGACGUUGAGGAUUGGGUCUUGCGCAACAAGAGGCUACGAACCCCGUCAGGUUCGGAAGGAAGCAGCGGUAAGUAGUUGUCUUGGGUGCCGCAAGGGCGCCUGGUCUGAGUUGGCUGCUGAAGAAUCGCCCGAGGGUUCCAUUCGACGGCAGGUGCACGG
rnacentral:SRP_RNA from 1 species